AUUGAACGCUGGCGGCAGGCUUAACACAUGCAAGUCGAGCGGGGUGAUGGUGCUUGCACUAUCACUUAGCGGCGGACGGGUGAGUAAUGCUUAGGAAUCUGCCUAUUAGUGGGGGACAACAUCUCGAAAGGGAUGCUAAUACCGCAUACGUCCUACGGGAGAAAGCAGGGGAUCACUUGUGACCUUGCGCUAAUAGAUGAGCCUAAGUGGGAUUAGCUAGUUGGUGGGGUAAAGGCCUACCAAGGCGACGAUCUGUAGCGGGUCUGAGAGGAUGAUCCGCCACACUGGGACUGGAGCACGGCCCAGACUCCUGCGAGAAGCAGCAGUGGAGAGUAUUGGACAAUGGGGGGAACCCUGAUCCAGCCAUGCCGCGUGUGUGAAGAAGGCCUUAUGGUUGUAAAGCACUUUAAGCGAGGAGGAGGCUCUUUUGGUUAAUACCCAAGAUGAGUGGACGUUACUCGCAGAAUAAGCACCGGCUAACUCUGUGCCAGCCGCCGCGGUAA
rnacentral:rRNA from 1 species